rnacentral:rRNA from 1 species
CCCUUAGAUGUUCUGGGCCGCACGCGCGCUACACUGAUGCAUUCAACGAGUUUCUUCCUGGUCCGAGAGGAAUGGGUAACCUUUUGAAGGUGCAUCGUGAUAGGGAUAGACUAUUGCAAUUAUUGGUCUUCAACGAGGAAUUCCUAGUAGACGUAGUUCAUCAGACUGCAUCGAUUACGUCCCUGCCCUUUGUACACACCGCCCGUCGCUCCUACCGAUUGAAUGCUCAGGUGAGCCAUUCGGACUUUCAUCAUGCUGGUUUCCAGUUUUGAUGAAGGAAAGUCUUGCGAACCUUAUCAUUUAGAGGAAGGAGAAGUCGUAACA